AGUGAACACUGGCGGUAGGCCUAACACAUGCAAGUCGAACGGCAGCACAGUAAGGGCUUGCUCUUACGGGUGGCGAGUGGCGGACGGGUGAGGAAUACAUCGGAAUCUACUUUUUCGUGGGGGAUAACGUAGGGAAACUUACGCUAAUACCGCAUACGACCUACGGGUGAAAGCAAGGGAUCUUCGGACCUUGCGCGAUUGAAUGAGCCGAUGUCGGAUUAGCUAGUUGGCGGGGUAAAGGCCCACCAAGGCGACGAUCCGUAGCUGGUCUGAGAGGAUGAUCAGCCACACUGGAACUGAGACACGGUCCAGACUCCUACGGGAGGCAGCAGUGGGGAAUAUUGGACAAUGGGCGCAAGCCUGAUCCAGCCAUACCGCGUGGGUGAAGAAGGCCUUCGGGUUGUAAAGCCCUUUUGUUGGGAAAGAAAAGCAGCAGGUUAAUACCCCGCUGUUCUGACGGUACCCAAAGAAUAAGCACCGGCUAACUUCGUG
rnacentral:rRNA from 1 species